GGCUUUUUUCCCCCGUAAACUGAGUUGAGAAUGGACCUAGUUAACUUAAGGGGCCUAUGUGUUGCACAUACAUUCUUUACACCGUGGAUAUCUGUAUACGCUCCUCCCAACAGGUCGAGAAAAUACCCGUUUGGUUUGUCUAACUGCUUUCCUCACUCUUUGCUCAAAUGUCCUCCAGUCUAUUGUAUUGUUCUUGACAAAGAUAUCAGCCAGUCUACGUUUGUUUGGCCGUAUAGUAGCCAUUUUGCCUCCACCAAAGUAUACUCGGAAGCCAGAGACUAACGAUGAAAAUUGGCUGCCCGAGUCUGUCAUGGCAAACACAUCUGCAGCAGUGCAAACUAUGAAGUCCAGUGCUGCUAGCUGAGAAGAGAAAUUCAUGAAUGGUUCAAUCUCAGAAGAGGAAAGUAAGCUUUCCUUUGUGACCAGAUUAGGAUACAAGGUGGUCAAGGAGGCCAAUCUUGAUUUGCCUCCAUAGAUAUGUGCACCUGCCAAGU
rnacentral:misc_RNA from 1 species